rnacentral:misc_RNA from 1 species
UCUCGGCUUAUCACCGGCAGUCCCCUUAGAGUGCCCAACUGAAUGCUGGCAACUAAGGGCGAGGGUUGCGCUCGUUGCGGGACUUAACCCAACAUCUCACGACACGAGCUGACGACAGCCAUGCAGCACCUGUGUGCAGGUUCCCUUUCGGGCACCCCCCUAUCUCUAGGGGGUUCCUGCCAUGUCAAGGGUAGGUAAGGUUUUUCGCGUUGCAUCGAAUUAAUCCACAUCAUCCACCGCUUGUGCGGGUCCCCGUCAAUUUCUUUGAGUUUUAACCUUGCGGCCGUACUCCCCAGGCGGAUGACUUAACGCGUUAGCUGCGCCACCGAAGCUCCAUGAGCCCCGACAGCUAGUCAUCAUCGUUUACGGCGUGGACUAC